CUCAUCUGCAAUUUAUAUUAAAUAAAAAUAAAAACCGACAUUGCAAGCAACGGCGUUGUGAGCUGGGGCAGUGGCGACAAAGUAAGCGGUGGCAGCGCCAAAGCCCGCCAUCCCGUCGCAAAAACAACUGGCACUAACUUGUUUCACCGGCAAAACGAGCCACACACAAAUCUGAGUACAUAAAUAUACAAUUCGUGCGCAUAUACAUAUGUAUCUGUAACUUUGAAGUGUUUAGAUGAAUGUAUAUACAUAAGUACAUAAGCAAAUCUUCACACAAAUGGCUAUGCAAGAGGGUAGACACAUGUAUCUAUGACGGAAUGAUUGUUACGAAGACCACAUGCACCCGUCCGCAGCAGCAGAGAGCCGAGCGAGUCAGUGCGACGAACUGUCUGAGAGAGUGACGCAGAAAUGAAAUAAAAAAACUCUGAAGUAAAAAAAACAGCCAAAUAUUCAAAAGAGAGGAAAAGAAAGACAGAGAAAAAACAACAACGCAACUUAUCAAGAAUACGUAUCGUAGCUAUCUGCGUUAAGACUGUUUAUUGUUUUUGGUUGGUGCAUUAUGUGCUGAACACAUAGAGAGCGACAGACUUCAAGCCCCCAACUGUCAAAUAUUACAAUACGCACGUUCUUAUGGACAUAGUUAUUUAGACAGCUGCACGACUACAUAACUGUGACCAUCAGAAAGUGUGUAUUUUAACAUUUGACAGAUUUUGCUUGAAGUCUUUCGCUUUCUAUCUGUUCAGCACAUUUUAUAGCAAAUUUUUGCCAACAAGAGCAUCGUUACCGCGCAGCGGACAGUGCCGACAUCGGCAGCGGUGCAAAUGAGUUUCGAAUAAAAUCAUAGCAUUCGCAUAACCCAGUGAGUGGUGAGUUGUCUAUGAGAAACGAUUCUCUCGAGCAGUGUUGAGAGGGGAAAAAGUGGGAAAUAUACAUCCAUACACACAUACAAUAUAAAUAUAUUGCUUUGUCAAAACGCUUAAGGAACAAAAACAA